UCCUUAUAAACCAGGGAAGGGAGGGUGGCCGAGCGUCAUUUUCUUUCUCCCAAGUCUCAGCUACUGGAAACAUCUGCCCAUUUAAGAAAACAAAGACCUUUUUUAAGUUCCAGAUUUGCGCAGCUCUGAAAUGAGGGGAUCAGGGCCUCCGGGAGACUGGAUCUGUUCUCCGCCUCCCCCCUCCUCCCUCACCCUCAGCUCUGCCUGUCCCUCUCCCCGCUGCAGCGCCUGAACUUGGUCUCCGGAGUUCUUCUGAACCUACACACAGCGCAGGCUCAGCGGCCAUGGCUCACAGGCCCAGCCGCUCCGCGGCAUGUGGGAUCUUCCCGGACCGGGGCACGAACCCGUGUCCCCUGCAUCAGCAGGAGGACUCCCAACCACUGCGCCACCAGGGAAGCCCAUGUGAGAGGCAUUUUUACUCGCAAAGACGGUUUGAGUGGCCGUGAGCCGGUGGCCAAGGGCGAAGGCGGGGACUUUGGGGUCGCGGGGAGGAGGCCAGGCGCGGAGAGCUGUGCUCCCGGAGUGACAUCCGCACCGUGAGCUGCAGAGCAUCAGUCCAAACACACACCGGCGUCAGGACACGGCGGAGACAACCCCAGGAAAAUAAGAUCUCUGCUGCCCGAGGGGACGCUCGCUUAACAAGUGGAAUCUCUGAACCGCCCAUGAGAGAGAGACAGGGAGAACUUGUGACGACACCUGCCUCUGAGCCGGUCUCCCCACCGCAGGUGCCAGAAACGAGCCUGAGCCCACGGUGGCAGGUGCUGCCCGUGAGGUCCGAGAGCUGCCGCCCUGCCGCCUACCCUAGGUGGGGCCCGUGUGCGCCCCGGACGCCAUCAGUGCCCGGCUGGCACACAGCAGCACCCCAGCCCCCGAGGCUGGGGACUUCAGCCACCUGACCCGGGCUGCCUCCACCCUCCACAUCCCGCCCUCGCUCACUGCUUCCUGACCCUCCUCCAGCCACCGGGAGCACCUGAUGCCUGCGGAGCUGAGCCUUUGGAGACGAGCCCCAGGGUCGGGUGGGUGCUGCCCGGCACCGCACACUCGGGCGCCUGGCACCUGCCCCUGUGCGGAAGGGCCCGGCCCCUCCACCUCCGGUCAGACCCCUGCUUCCGUGAGGAGCAAACCCAGGAAGCCCGCCCGUCCCCAGUCACCAGCUCCUCCGGGCCCUGCGGGACUUCCAGAUGCGGCUCUGUCUCCAGGCUGGGCCGCGCAUGCCUCCCUCCCUCCGUCCCAGGCCGGCGGGUUGCACCCUCAGCGUUCACGCUCCCAGGGCAUGACCCGUCUCCCUGCUUGUGUCUGCCCAGAGGCUCUGCACUUGAGUGCGUGGGGCUCCGUCCAAUGUUCUUGGGGGUCUGCACGAGGUGAUACAGCCCUGGCACCAGGGCGAGGAUGCAGCUCUUCCAGGACAGGGAUGGGGAGGCCAUUGGAAAGCUAGAGAGUCGGGGAAGAGGUAGGGGCACUAGGGGCACAGUCUCCUUUGGAUGGGAGUUUGGUUAAUGACUCCGCUAGCUAAUACAGUUUGGUGUGUGUGUGGUUUUAACACAGGAAACAGCUGGCCAGCCUGAAGGAGGUGUGAGACCCCAGGCACACCCCUUGGCCCAGAAAACGAUGAAAUGCCUCCUUCAAUUUUGCCCCCAGGACCCCCCUGCCUCCCCGGGAACCGGGAAGUCCAAGCUGUGGGUUUGCCAGAAGCUUCGGUGGGUCAGGUGAGGGGACCGUGCUGGUCUCGAGUCCGCAGGCUGAUGCUGGCCUGUGAGGACCCACGUCCUGGGGAUGGGGGAUGGUUUGCCCUCCACGUGGCAGCCAUGGCUGUGCACCAGGUUCCCUGGCCACGUCCUCUGGGGCCUCCCUGGGGGAGCAGGGGCUGCUCUUGGGGUCAGAAGGUGAAGGCCAAGCCCAGCCUCCCCCCAGGGGCCUAGUGUGACCCCAAAAGGAGCCACUGCCUGGAGGCACCCGGCUCACACCAGGCAGCGGCCGAGGUUCCCUCCCUGGCCGGGGCCUGGCUGGCUUUUCUUUACCACCAGCAUCGAGAUCCAUCUCAUCUGGAAAUCCAGAGUGGACGGUGACGUGACGCUUAGGAGACCCCGGAGCCGUGUUCCCUGCCUGAAACCACGGCCCUCAGGUUGAACAGACGUGGUGAGACCGGGACAGAGCACAGCCACUUCGUCAUGGGACCCAGAGAAUGGCCCGGCCCCCACGCUCCGCUCACUGCAUCCUCAGUGAUGACGAUGGCUAAGAAACGCUCCCAUCUCCUCUGCGGCCACAGAAAGUUCCUGAAGUGCAUCCACGGAAUGUCUGGUUUAAGUGGUGUGGCUGCCCACCCCCGGCCUACCGGGAGGCACUCGCUGCAAACAGGCCCUGGGAGAGGCGGGAAGGCCGCCCACGGGAUGUGGAUGCCCACCUGUUCUACGCGGAGACACCUGCCAGGAGCGUGGGUUCUGAUUUUGGAGGAGCUGAUCUUACGCCCUUGUUUCUCUGACUUAAGUCCUGGUAGACGACACACGGCUGUUUCGAGCUUCUGACCCCGUCUUGUGCUUUUUCCUUCCACUCUGGGGUCGCUUAGUGAUGUCCAGGACACGCCCACGUUGUGGUCCCAGAGCCACCGGGGUCAGGACCAGAGGCACCCGCAGCCCUGCCUGGAGCAAGGUGUGCGCGCUGCUGGGGCUUUGUCUUGGUUUUGCGGGGAGAAGUGUUUGCGACCCUGCAGAGCGAGAGUUUGAGGAAAUUGUCUGGGAAUGGGUGCAGGACAGGCACUGCUGUCGACAGCACUGUUGUCACUCCCUGUGUUACAGCUGCGGUUUAGCAAGUGCCUGUGGUUUGCCCGGUGUGUUACCUACGUUACUGCCACUUGACAGUGAGUGAAUGGCAUCUGGGAGAAAUUAAGUGGACAGGGCUCCCCCUGCAGUGUUUUCUCAGGUCCCGGCAACAUCCACUGCAGAGAGCUCCCAGCGCCCGCAUCUGUGAGGCGCGGCCCCGGCCAAGCCCAGUGCGCAGGGAGGCUGUGUGCCCGGUUGGGACAACCAGAGCCACCUCCUUCCCAGUCAAAUCGGGCACUGGGCUGGCGAGAGAGCCAGCCUCCCGGGAGGCUGCCGGGCACAGUCAGUCGCCUGCACGGGAGCCUGAAGCCGGGCCGCGGAGCCCGGGAAGCAGGGCCACACGGAGGUGCCCAGACGUCCGAGG